rnacentral:rRNA from 1 species
AGGACGAACGCUGGCGGCGUGCUUAACACAUGCAAGUCGAGCGAGGCCCGUCCUUCGGGACGGUGCCCUAGCGGCGAACGGGUGAGUAACACGUGGGCAACCUGCCCCUAGCACUGGGAUAACUCCGGGAAACCGGGGCUAAUACCGGAUAUGACCUCCGAGGGCAUCCUUGGUGGUGUAAAGGAUUCUGGCUAGGGAUGGGCCCGCGGCCUAUCAGCUUGUUGGUGGGGUAAUGGCCUACCAAGGCGACGACGGGUAGCCGGCCUGAGAGGGCGACCGGCCACACUGGGACUGAGACACGGCCCAGACUCCUACGGGAGGCAGCAGUGGGGAAUAUUGCACAAUGGGCGAAAGCCUGAUGCAGCGACGCCGCGUGAGGGAUGACGGCCUUCGGGUUGUAAACCUCUUUCAGCAGGGACGAAGCGAAAGUGACGGUACCUGCAGAAGAAGCACCGGCCAACUACGUGCCAGCAGCCGCGGU